rnacentral:rRNA from 1 species
AUGGUUGCUAAUUCUUCAAAGAACCUCCAAAAUACACAGAUUGCAGGAGCAUCUCCAGUUGAAAUUGCAAGUGGACCAAAUGGUAGCAGUGGUGUCGAUCAGGAUGGAAGUAGAAGUGGUACUACUUCUGCCAUAGUAGAGAAAGCUGCAACAAAGAAAAAUCUCAAGGCCAAAGCCGGGGGAAAGAAGAAAACCUCAAAAGUUUGGACGCACUUCACUGAGAUUAUAACAGAGGAAAAGGUGGGCGAUAAGGUUGUCAAGAAUGUUACUGCCGAGUGCAAGAUCUGUAAAAAGGUUCUUGAAGCUGGCAGUAAGCAUGGUACGUCACGUUUAUGGAAUCGUUUUAAGGCAAAACAUGUAGUGAGCAAGAAUCAGGCACAACUUAAUCCGACCACAUUAGGAGGAGAUGUUAAUUUAAACACUUGGAAGUACGAUGAGGAUACGAGUGUUGAGAAGUAUCAUAUUGCAAUUAUUAUGCAUGAAUAUCCAUUCAACUUCUCUGAGCAUGAAUACACAAAUGACUUCAUCAGAUCAUUGUGCCCCUCAUUUCCUAUAAAGUGUCGCAAGACUACUAGGUCAAGGAUAAUGGACAUUUUUCGUAAAGAGAAGCUCAAGAUUUUUGAUAAUUUGUCCGCUUUGAACUGUCGAUUUAGCUACACAAUGGAUUUAUGGACUUCUAAUCAACAUAAGGGUUAUCUAUGUGUCACUUGUCAUUUCAUUGACAAUGAUUGGAAAAUACAAAAGCAUAUCAUUAAUUUCAUGCAUCUUCAAGGAAGGCAUACAUGA